rnacentral:rRNA from 1 species
GAUGAACGCUGGCGGCGUGCCUAAUACAUGCAAGUCGAGCGAACAGACGAGGAGCUUGCUCCUCUGACGUUAGCGGCGGACGGGUGAGUAACACGUGGAUAACCUACCUCUAUGACUGGGGUAACUUCGGGAAAACGGAUCUAAUAACGGAUAAUAUAUUGAACCGCAUGGUUCAAUGGUGCAAGAGGGUUUUGCUGUCACUUAUAGCCGGAUGCGGGCUGCAUUAGCUAGUUGGUAAGGUAACGGCUUACCAAGGCGACGAUGCGUAGCCGACCUGAGAGGGUGAUCGGCCACACUGGAACUGAGACACGGUCCAGACUCCUACGGGAGGCAGCAGUAGGGAAUCUUCCGCAAUGGGCGAAAGCCUGACGGAGCAACACCGCGUGAGUGAUGAAGGUCUUCGGGUCGUAAAACUCUGUUGUUAGGGAAGAACAAAUGUGUAUUUAUCUAUGCACGUCUUGACGGUACCUAAACAAAAAGCCACGGCUAACUUCGUG